rnacentral:rRNA from 1 species
GACGUAGGGCGCGAGCGUUGUCCGGAUUUAUUGGGCGUAAAGAGCUCGUAGGCGGCUUGUCGCGUCGACUGUGAAAACUGGAGGCUCAACCUCCAGCCUGCAGUGGGUACGGGCAAACUAGAGUGCGGUAGGGGAGAUUGGAAUUCCUGGUGUAGCGGUGGAAUGCGCAGAUAUCAGGAGGAACACCGAUGGCGAAGGCAGAUCUCUGGGCCGUAACUGACGCUGAGGAGCGAAAGCAUGGGGAGCGAACAGG